rnacentral:rRNA from 1 species
GGACUACCCGGGUUUCUAAUCCUGUUUGCUCCCCUAGCUUUCGUUCCUCAGCGUCAGUAGUGGUCCAGCGCGCCGCUUUCGCCACGGGUGUUCCUGCAGAUAUCUACGCAUUUCACCGCUACACCUGCAAUUCCACGCGCCUCUCCCACACUCAAGCACAGCAGUUUCGGAAGCAGACUCUGGGUUGAGCCCAGAGAUUUCACUCCCGACUUGCCACACCGCCUACGAACCCUUUACACCCAGUAAUUCCGAGCAACGCUUGAGACCUCUGUAUUACCGCGGCUGCUGGCAC